UACGUAGGGGGCGAGCGUUGUCCGGAGUACUGGGCGUAAAGCGCACGCAGGCGGUCUGCUAAGUUUGGAGUGACAGUUGGUGGCUUAACUGCCAAAGUGCUUCGAAAACUGACAGACUUGAGGGCUUCAGAGGGACACGGAAUUCCGGGUGGAGUGGUGAAAUGCGUAGAGAUCCGGAGGAACACCAAAGGCGAAGGCAGUGUCCUGGCCGAGCACUGACGCUCAGGCACGAAAGCGCGGGGAGCGAACAGG
rnacentral:rRNA from 1 species